rnacentral:lncRNA from 1 species
GGGUGUUUGGCGCAGAUUUUAAGUGGCUUCUUUUCACUAUAAGUUUGCUUCAGCUUCUGUGAUGGUGUUUGGGUAAAUAAGCCGGAAGGCUUAUUUUAGGAGUUUAAGCACUGAAACAAGAAGUUGGUCUGGCCAACUUCUUUUCUGUUCUCCAGCUUAUUUUGUUAUUGUGUACAAAUCAUCAAACAUUCUACACUUAUAAAUCGCAUUACCCAAACACUCAACUAACUUAAAAAUAUGUUAUCACUUAUCACUUAUAAUCCACUUAUCUAUUUUAAGCAAGAAGCAACUUUUUUUAAGUUAAGCCAAACAGCCCC